UAGGAAGACCAGCUAGGGAGGGAGCGGCUCAGCAACGCAGACAGGAAAUAAUCACUGUUAUUAUCUGCAGUCCUCCAGAGGAGCUCACAGCAGGUAGGAACGCCGCGUGCUCGUUUGCGGAGUGAAUUUUCGGAGUGAAAGUUCCAUGUCACCAAACAGAACAUGAGCUGUGGUCAGACCUUCCAAGAAAACAGCAGAAACGAGGAACGGCAGCCAAGUUUCCCGUGCAGGCCAGUUCCAGUUGGCAAGAUGCUGAAGUACCCCCCCCCCCAAUGUAUUGGGGAGAAGGCUCCACGUGGCAGACAGUGAAGCAGAGGUCUCCUCUGCAGCUGCCCUCUCACAGGCUGCUGGGCCCCAACCCCGCAAGCAAAGCUGGCAGAAGAUGGCUGCCAACAAGCUUCACUGCAAAGAGAAUCGCCGUGAAGGCAUGUUUGGAGGCAGAGAAUAUUAUUCAAGGCAGUAAGAAUAUACAGAAGCUGGAGAGAUGGCUCAGCGGUUAAGAGCACUGACUACUCUUCCAAAGGUCCUGAGUUCAAAUCCCAGCAACUACAUGGUGG
rnacentral:lncRNA from 1 species